rnacentral:rRNA from 1 species
GUCUACAGCCAUACCACCCUGUACGCGCCCAAGCUUGUCUGAUCUCAGAAGCUAAGCAGGGUCGGGCCUGGUUAGUACUUGGAUGGGAGAAAAGAGAGAAGGGCUUUGUUGAAU